UACGAAGGGGGCUAGCGUUGCUCGGAAUCACUGGGCGUAAAGCGCACGUAGGCGGAUCUUUAAGUCAGGGGUGAAAUCCUGGAGCUCAACUCCAGAACUGCCUUCGAUACUGGAAAGCUCGAGUCCGGGAGAGGUGAGUGGAACUGCGAGUGUAGAGGUGAAAUUCGUAGAUAUUCGCAAGAACACCAGUGGCGAAGGCGGCUCACUGGCCCGGUACUGACGCUGAGGUGCGAAAGCGUGGGGAGCAAACAGG
rnacentral:rRNA from 1 species